rnacentral:rRNA from 1 species
AGAGUUUGAUCCUGGCUCAGGAUAAACGCUGGCGGCGUGCCUAACACAUGCAAGUCGAACGCUCUACGCAAGUAGGGAGUGGCGGACGGGUGAGUAACACAUGGGUACCUGCCUUCUAGUGAGGAAUACCGGCGAGAAAUCGCCGACAAGACCGCAUACCUUUCGCAAGAAAGAAAGCUCGCAAGGGCGCUAGAAGAUGG